UAGGGAAUCUUCGGCAAUGGACGAAAGUCUGACCGAGCAACGCCGCGUGAGUGAAGAAGGUUUUCGGAUCGUAAAACUCUGUUGUUAGAGAAGAACAAGGACGUUAGUAACUGAACGUCCCCUGACGGUAUCUAACCAGAAAGCCACGGCUAACUACGUGCCAGCAGCCGCGGUAAUACGUAGGUGGCAAGCGUUGUCCGGAUUUAUUGGGCGUAAAGCGAGCGCAGGCGGUUUCUUAAGUCUGAUGUGAAAGCCCCCGGCUCAACCGGGGAGGGUCAUUGGAAACUGGGAGACUUGAGUGCAGAAGAGGAGAGUGUAAUUCCAUGUGUAGCGGUGAAAUGCGUAGAUAUAUGGAGGAACACCAGUGGCGAAGUCGGCUCCCUGGUCUGUAACUGACGCUGAGGCUCGAAAGCGUGGGGAGCAAACAGG
rnacentral:rRNA from 1 species